rnacentral:lncRNA from 1 species
UAACGGGCGGGAAAGGACAAGAAAGGCAGAGAGGUCGGCCCUGGCCACGAUGGAGUCUGUCUAAGGUAGCCCGGACAGAGCUGCGCUCAGCCUUGCAUGGGAGAAGGGCCAGGACAGGCACGGGCGUGCUGGACAGUUCCCGGUUUCUAGUUCUCUGUAUCCGGCGACCAAUGCCCUAGGCCGCGACCCCGCAGCCAGGCCUACUUCCCUGCUGGGACUGCGCAUUUCCAGAAUGCUUGCCUGUUUUUCCACCAGAUAUUUAAACGCAGCUGGGACUGCAGUGAGCUUCACUUGUCAUGAAGGAGAGUGGGCAGCUGCUUUUUGGGGAAGAACUCCUCAGCUGUACAGCCCAAAGGCAGCAAUGAGAAACAGGAAGGAUGCACUGGCCCUUGCUGUCUAACACGUGUCACUGAUGCAAAGAAGAGAAACUAAGGUCCCUGUGGCAGCAUCUACCAAAAACACUGCAAUUGAUCAACACUAUUCUCCG